UGGGGAAUAUUGGGCAAUGGGCGCAAGCCUGACCCAGCAACGCCGCGUGAGGGAAGAAGGCUUUCGGGUUGUAAACCUCUGUCCUUGGUGACGAAACAAAUGACGGUAGCCAAGGAGGAAGCCCCGGCUAACUACGUGCCAGCAGCCGCGGUAAUACGUAGGGGGCGAGCGUUGUCCGGAAUUACUGGGCGUAAAGGGUGCGUAGGUGGCCUUUUAAGUUGGAUGUGAAAUACCCGGGCUUAACUUGGGGGGUGCAUCUAAUACUGGGAGGCUAGAGUGCAGUAUAGGGAAGCGGAAUUCCUAGUGUAGCGGUGAAAUGCGUAGAUAUUAGGAGGAACACCAGUGGCGAAGGCGGCUUUCUGGACUGUAACUGACACUGAGGCACGAAAGCGUGGGGAGCAAACA
rnacentral:rRNA from 1 species